rnacentral:rRNA from 1 species
CAGCCGCCGCGGGAAUACGAAGGGGGCUAGCGUUGCUCGGAAUUACUGGGCGUAAAGCGCACGUAGGCGGAUUUUUAAGUCAGGGGUGAAAUCCCGAGGCUCAACCUCGGAACUGCCUUUGAUACUGGAGAUCUUGAGUUCGGAAGAGGUUGGUGGAACAGCUAGUGUAGAGGUGAAAUUCGUAGAUAUUAGCUAGAACACCAGUGGCGAAGGCGGCGAUCUGGGAAGAUACCGACGCUGAGGUACGAAAGCGUGGGGAGCAAACAGGAUUAGAUACCCCUGUAGUCCCUGUCUCUUAUAC